rnacentral:rRNA from 1 species
ACGGGUGAGUAACGCGUGGUCAACCUACCGUUGAGUGGGGGAGUAACUAGCCGAAAGGUUAGCUAAUACCGCAUACGUCUCCAGGGGCAUCCCUUGGCGAUAAAAGGAGCAAUCCGCUCGAUGACGGGACCGCGUCCCAUUAGCUAGAUGGUGGGGUAACGGCCUACCAUGGCACCGAUGGGUAGCUGGUUUGAGAGAGCGACCAGCCACACUGGGACUGAGAAACGGCCCAG